rnacentral:lncRNA from 1 species
AUUACGAAUUACCUGGAUUUUGGAUUGUAUAAUGCCACCUCGGGAUUAACAAAGACAUCAUUUUACAUAUAUCUACAGACCAGACCCGGGUGGGUCUCUCUCCUCCAGACCAGAGGGGGCACAUCUCCACCAGAGAAGGCCAGAGGGGGUCCAUCUCCACCAGACCUGACCAGAGUGGCUCCAUCUCCUCCAGGUCAAAGCAGACAAGGUCACCGCUACUUCUUCCGUGACAAACACGCUGCCAUGGCAAUUGCAGAAAAACAGCGAAGGCCGGCCGUAAUGUCAUCGUCGGGUCCUGGGCGGUGUGAGGAUAAGACUCCCACGCCUCUCGCACUGCCGCUCGCUGAGACGGACCACAGGGAACACUCUUGGUUCUGAGGGGAGACGGACAGAAGACAGACAAAGUGCACCGGUUUGAAGUGACGGAGGGUGAGAACCAGAGUGACUCACCCUCUCCUCCCUGCUCAUCCACUCGCCGACCA